rnacentral:rRNA from 1 species
AGUGAGCGGCAAAAAGCUCAAUUUGAAAGCUAGGCACCUUCGGUGUUCGCGUUGUAAUUUGAAGAUAGAUUUCCUUGAGUACUCCUCCUAUCUAUGUUCCUCUGGAACAGGACGUCAUAAAGGGUGAGAACCCCGUAUGAUUUUGGAUACUACUCUUUGUGGGAUUCUAUCCUUCAGUCGAGUUGU